rnacentral:rRNA from 1 species
GAUGAACGCUGGCGGCGUGCCUAAUACAUGCAAGUCGAGCGAACAGACGAGGAGCUUGCUCCUCUGACGUUAGCGGCGGACGGGUGAGUAACACGUGGAUAACCUACCUAUAAGACUGGGAUAACUUCGGGAAACCGGAGCUAAUACCGGAUAACAUGUUGAACCGCAUGGUUCAACAGUGAAAGACGGUUUUGCUGUCACUUAUAGAUGGAUCCGCGCCGCAUUAGCUAGUUGGUAAGGUAACGGCUUACCAAGGCAACGAUGCGUAGCCGACCUGAGAGGGUGAUCGGCCACACUGGAACUGAGACACGGUCCAGACUCCUACGGGAGGCAGCAGUAGGGAAUCUUCCGCAAUGGGCGAAAGCCUGACGGAGCAACGCCGCGCGAGUGAAGAAGGUCUUCGGAUCGUAAAACUCUGUUAUUAGGGAAGAACAAAUGUGUAAGUAACUAUGCACGUCUUGACGGUACCUAAUCAGAAAGCCACGGCUAACUACGUG